GAUUUCUGGCGAACCGUUGCGGCCCGUGCUCGUUUCGGGCGUGUGUGCCUGUCGUGUUUGUCAUCCUUCCAGAGAGCUGCGUCUACCCUUCACUUGGCCGGACGUACGUGAUCUGGAUCGAUUACUUUGAAAAAAUUAGAGUGUUUAAAAGGCUUACGCUGUGAAUACAUUAGCAUGGAAUAAUAAUUUAGGACUUCGGUUCUAUUUUGUUGGUAUUCCGCGGCCAGAGGUGAAAUUCUUGGAUUCGCGGAAGACUAACUACUGCGAAAGCAUU
rnacentral:rRNA from 1 species